GACGUCACACUCCCGUAAACCACCGUGAACCUACCUAUCGUCGUUGCCUCGGCGGGUGCUCCGGCGCCCGCCGUAGGCCUUCUACUCUUGUCUACACAGUUGGCAUCUCCGAGCAAUCUAGCAAACGAGUCAAAACUUUCAACAACGGAUCUCUUGGUUCUGGCAUCGAUGAAGAACGCAGCGAAAUGCGAUAAGUAAUGUGAAUUGCAGAAUUCCAGUGAAUCAUCGAAUCUUUGAACGCACAUUGCGCCCGCCGGCACUCCGGCGGGCAUGCCUGUUCGAGCGUCAUUUCAACCCUCAGGCCCGGCCUGGCGUUGGGGCCCUGCACCGCAGGCUCCUAAAGACAGCGGCGGGUGCGGCCCGGAGCCGAGCGCAGUAGCUUACUAUUCGCUCUGGUACCGGGCAGCACUCCGGCCGUAAAACCCCCCCUUUAUGCACUGGUUGACCUCGGAUCAGGUAGGAAUACCCGCUGAACUUAAGCAUAU
rnacentral:rRNA from 1 species